rnacentral:rRNA from 1 species
UACAGAGGUCUCAAGCGUUGUUCGGAUUCAUUGGGCGUAAAGGGUGCGUAGGUGGCGCCAUAAGUCAGGUGUGAAAUCUCGGGGCUCAACCCCGAAACUGCACUUGAUACUGUGGUGCUCGAGUACUGGAGAGGAGAUUGGAAUUUACGGUGUAGCAGUGAAAUGCGUAGAUAUCGUGAGGAAGACCAGUGGCGAAGGCGGGUCUCUGGACAGUUCCUGACGCUGAGGCACGAAGGUCAGGGGAGCAAACGGG